AGCGAACCGGAUUAGAUACCCGGGUAGUCCACGCCGUAAACGAUGGAUACUAGCUGUNGGAGGUAUCGACCCCUUCAGUAGCGAAGCUAACGCGUUAAGUAUCCCGCCUGUGGAGUACGGUCGCAAGACUAAAACAUAAAGGAAUUGACGGGGACCCGCACAAGCGGUGGAUCGUGUUCUUUAAUUCGAUGAUAAACGAAGAACCUUACCAGGGUUUGACAUCCUUGGAAUUUCUGUGAAAGCAGAGAGUGCUUUAUUGAGCCAAGUGACAGGUGAUGCAUGGCCGUCGUCAGCUCGUGUCGUGAGAUGUUUGGUUAAGUCCAUCAACGAGCGCAACCCUUGUGAAUAGUUGUAUUUUUCUAUUCAGACUGCCCCGGUAACGGGGAGGAAGGAGGGGAUGAUGUCAGGUCAGUAUUUCCCUUACACCCUGGGCUAGAAACACGAUACAAUGGUUAGUACAAUGCGCANGCGAAGCCGCGAGGUGGAGCAAAUCGCAUCAAAGCUAAUCUCAGUUCGGAUAAGAGGCUGAAACUCGCCUCUUUGAAGUCGGAAUCGCUAGUAAUCGCAGAUCAGCAAGCUGCGGUGAAUACGUUCCCGGGUCUUGUACACACCGCCCGUCAAACCAUGAAAGUGACCAACACCCGAAGUCCGAUUCGUCGGCCUAAGGUGGGGGGCAUGAUUGGGGUU
rnacentral:rRNA from 1 species